GACGAACCGAGCGAACGUUGUUCGGAAUCACUGGGCUUAAAGGGCGCGUAGGCGGGCCGCCGCGUCCGGGGUGAAAUCCUCCCGCUCAACGGGAGAACGGCCUCGGAUACGGGCGGCCUGGAGGGGGGUAGGGGCGUGCGGAACUGUGGGUGGAGCGGUGAAAUGCGUUGAUAUCCACAGGAACUCCGGUGGCGGAGGCGGCACGCUGGACCCCACCUGACGCUGAGGCGCGAAAGCCAGGGGAGCGAACGGG
rnacentral:rRNA from 1 species